CUACGGUCAUAUCAAGUUAAAAUACCAGUUCCGGUACGAUCCCAGUAGUUAAGCAACGUCGAGCUUGAUCAGUACCUAAACUGGUGACUACUUGGGUAUAGCAGGUGCUGUAAG